GGAGACUCUGAUCUGAAGCCUCUGGUUGAGAUCCUGGAGAGUUCAGUCAGUAAAGUGAAGAAUCUGAGAUUGAUGGACUGCAGUUUGUCAGAGACCAGCUGGACUUCUCUGUUCUCAGCUCUGAAGUCCAACCCGACCCAUCUGACAAAACUGGACCUGUACAGAACCAACCUGGGAGAUUCUGGAGUGAAGGAGCUCUGUGGUUUUCUACAGACUGAAGGCUGCAGACUGGAGACAUUGUUAUUGAGGGGCUGCAGUUUGUCAAAGAUCAGCUGUGAUUAUUUG